CAUUUUAAUAUUUUGCUUAUUAAAUUAAUCAGAUAUUUUGGUAGACGAUGUAGAAUAUCACCAUUUUUUUCUCCAUCUUCAUGUCAUCUUCAUGCAUGUGUGAAGAGAACUUUUGUUUUUUUUUUCCAAAUAAGUCCCCUCUACCAUUUCCAACCACCUUGAGCUUAAAAACUUCAAAUUCUUCCAUGGAUUUUUACUGAAAUCAAUAGAGCAAUCUCAUAGAAAGUUUAGUUUCUUGUAAAGUUAACUAGUGCUCGUACUGGAAGAUAGAAAAGUGAAGUUAGGGUUUUGGGUAAAAGUUCAAGAGAAAGAGAAGAGAGGUGAUCAACAAGGUCUUGAUAAGAGGAAAGAAGUAGCAAAAGAGUGAAGGAAGAAGAAAGAGGCUCAUCCAAACACUUGAUUGUAAGUACUUCGAGAAUUUUACUUUACCUAAUGUAACCCCAUUGUAAGUAAUAUUAAAACGGUUAUAUGUUUAAUUUAUAUGUCAAUAUGUCAAUAUUAUAUAUGAAAAUUGAUUAAUGAGUAGUGAAAAUAUGAAUUGAAUUUUAAUUACAAA